GACGAACGCUGGCGGCGUGCUUAACACAUGCAAGUCGAACGGAAAGGCCUGUCCUUCCUUGUGUUGGACGGGUACUCGAGUGGCGAACGGGUGAGUAACACGUGAGUGAUCUGCCCCCAACUUGGGUAUAAGCCUGGGAAACUGGGUCUAAUUCCCGAUAGGACUGCAGGGUGGUGCCUGUGGUGGAAAACGAUUUUCUAGUGGUUGGGGAUGAGCUCGCGGCCUAUCAGCUUGUUGGUGGGGUAAUGGCCUACCAAGGCGGCGACGGGUAGCCGGCCUGAGAGGGUGGACGGCCACAUUGGGACUGAGAUACGGCCCAGACUCCUACGGGAGGCAGCAGUGGGGAAUAUUGCACAAUGGGCGGAAGCCUGAUGCAGCGACGCCGCGUGGGGGAUGACGGCCUUCGGGUUGUAAACUCCUUUCGACCGCGAGGAAGCCGCCUGGUUGGAAGGGUGGUGACGGUAGUGGUAGAAGAAGCACUGGCUAACUACGUG
rnacentral:rRNA from 1 species